CCUUCUCCCAAUCCAAAUUAUACUGUUUACAGACAUUAAGCAGAAACUGCUUGAAAAAAGGUAGACACUUUCUAUGUUUUUUAAAAGUGAAAGCCUACAUGAACUGAGGAGGAGAGAAAGAAUAAAUUGGAGAAUGGGGGAAGUGAGUGCCAGAGGAUAAGGAGAUUCCUGUACAUUGGAAAACAGUUGAAUUAUUUGGGAAUUUUGGUUUAUAGUAUUCUGUGGCAACGUCCCAGGAAGGUAACAAGAUCUCUGAGAAAAUUGCUCUGUGAAAUGCAUACAGGUACCUCAUUGUGAUGGUUAAUUUUAUAUACCAACUUGAUUGUUUUGAGAUGCACAGAGAGCUGGUUACACAUUAUUUCUGAGUGUGUUUGUGAAGGAAUAUCAGGAAGACUAGCAUUUGCAUUGAUAAAGUGAGUCAUGAAGAUUGCCCUCAUCAAUUUUGGUCGCAUCACCUACACAGUUGAAGACUCAAAUAGAACAAAAAGGCAGAGGAAGAAGGGCUAGUAUGCUGUCUACUUGAGCUGAGACAUCCAUCUUCUGCCCUUGGACAUGGUGCUCCUGGUUCUUGGACUUUCAGGCUUAGAUUGAACUAUGUUACUGGUUUUCCUGGACCUCCAGCUUGCAGACAGAAGAUCAUGGGACUUUUCAACCUCAUGUGGGCCAAUCCUUU
rnacentral:lncRNA from 1 species